UUGGUUACUAUAGCUUUAUAGUGUAUUUUGAAGUCUAGCAUGAUGCCUUCAGCUUUGUUAUUUUUGCUCAGGAUUACUAAAAGCAAAUUCUUGGCAGAGAAAUAGACAUACUUCUUUACAAGGUAUUAAAUAACAAUCUAAUGGUAGGUGUAAGAGUAUAAUAAUUUUGAAGUAGUUAUCAAGGUAAAAGAAAUUUUGAUGUAUUUUUAACAACUAAAAAUGAAAUUUGACAAUAUCUAUGAUUUUUAUUUGCUAAAAAAUCACAGGUCCUGCUUAAUAAUAUUGUGGUUUGUUACCUACCUUCAUAAACAAAGGAAAUGCUUAAUUUCAGUUAGAAGUUGGUGCUAAUAAUGAUAUAAAUUUUACUCAUCCAAGUUACCAGACCUUCUGAAUUCUAACCAUAGAGUCCCUCAAGAUCAAACCAGUACUUUAGAGUAUAUACCCAGGAAUGGAAUUGUUGGGUCAUAAAUUAUAUAUAUAUAUAUGUAUAUAUGUGUAUAUAUAUGAGUAUUAUAUUAGUAUAUAUAUGAGUAUAUAAAUGAGUGUAUAUAUAUAUAUGCAUACAUAUAUAUACUCACUUUCAUUAAAUAGUGCCAAACUGUUCUACAGAAAUUUAUACUCUUAAUAGCAGUGUAUGAGGUUUUCUUUACUAAUUUUUCAUUAUUGUUUGUCUGAUCUGAUGAGUGAAGAAGGGAAUCAUCUACUUGAUGGUGUUCCUGCUCGGUUUUGUCCAAAGGUCAGUUCAAGCAAUAGUGCAGAAGGAAGAGGAGAAGUGGAUCCUAUGCUGGCCUAUGAGAAGAAGGGCAGCUGCUGUACAUGCAAACUCUAGAUGUUUGUAUUCUGGUAUUACAUCCCUGGCUAAGCACUUUCUUUUUCUAGUGCUACAUUCUGUGGCCACUAGAUGGUGGCAUAGACUAGCUUUUCCUUCAUGGGGCAUCUGCAUAUGUCUUUUUAUUAUUUGAGUUCUUGUAAUUUAAGCAAUAGGUAUUUAGAGUGGUGUUAACUUCACUUACAGUUUUGGGUUUGUUUUGUGAUAAUGGACUAUGUAUUGGAGAAAAAAGUUCAGUAAAGGCGAGUUACUACUAUAAUGUUUGUGGGUUGCUCUAUUAUGGUUAUAUUAAGUAACUGGUAAUAAAAAUCAAAAUCAGCUUUCAGUUUUUCUUAAAAAGAGAACUUCUUAUAUUACUGAGUAUGUGUUAAGCACCUGGUGUGCAUUGAACAUUGAAUUAAAUGCUUUAGGGAAAGAAACAACCACUGCAUCCCUCUUCUUAAACUUGCCUUGAAUUUCUGUGUAUGUUUAUGUUGCUAUCCUUGUUAGAAUCAAUAGUAGCAAAGAUUUAUGAAUAGCUCAAUAUUUAAAUAUGGCACAACUUUAUUUACUGUUAUUUUUAUUAAUAAAAGAAACUAUUAUUACUAAAACACAAACAUGAAAGUUUAUUAUAUAUCCAUUACAUCCUUUUUAGAUAUAAUAAAUGAAUUGGCUUACUUUAGGUUUUGAAUUAAAAAGUGAAUUUUAGUGCCAAUGACAUUUAAAAACAUGUCAUUAAUAAAUGCAGUUACUUCCUGAAAUGAGCUUUGAAAGUCUAUGUCUUUGAAUAAUCCCUGUGCUUCCCAUUUGGGAGAGAAAUGUUAUGGGGAAAGUAUUUCUGGACUUUUUGCUAUUUAUUUUAGAUUUUCUUUAUUAAAUAUGGCUGGUUUCUCUCCUUGGUAUAAACUGAGACACCUUAUAGCUUUAUGCAUUUAUGUACUUUGUGACCUUUUUUUCAUGAGGUUCUCUUUCAAAUGAACACCCAUUAUCCAAUGCUCUCAUGUGUAUUUCUCUUCACCUCCAUAAGUUGUCCCUGUUAGCUGAGGAAUUAACUUCUUAACCUGUUUUAGCUUUACUUGGCCCUCAUUGAUUGCUUUUACAGAAUCUUUAUAAUUUGUUAUCUUUCAUUUAUUCUCAAUAGUAUAUUCAGGGCUUGGAGCAUUAAUGCAAGGGACAUGUAGCCUGUGUCUAAAAAAAGAGGGGCCUGUUAUCUCCUUUGCCCCUUAUUAGGUCCUUUAGGGUACUGCCUAGGAUUUUCCCAAAUAUACUUUAUUAAUUCAAAUGUCACUCUUUUAUGAAGGUUGAUAGACAUAGUUUAUGGGUACACAGAACUAUACAGAUUAAAAUUCCCUCUGAAAAACAUUGUAAGUUAACUUUUCAAUAUAGCUUAUUAGUGUUACUUAGAAAUAGGCUUCAUUUUAAAAGUUAUUUUCCUCAUACUUUUGUAAAAAAUCAUAUAUUAAAAAAUACAGUACCUGGUUUUCCUUCUCCUCUGAAAUCAUUUGUAGAUCCUCCCACUUAAAAUAAAAACUGAAAUGAAAGUUAGUGAAAAUCAUAACUUUAGAGGCUGCUUCAGUACAAUUCCUAUUUCAUAAUAGUUUUUCAUUGAAAAACAGUUGCUUCUGAGUCACUACGUUUCUUGGAAUGGGGCCUGUUGGUCAAUCCAAGUUAUUAGUGUCUUUGUUUUAGGAUUACUUUACAAAUGAGAGCUUUACUCAGACCCUUAUUUAUUUCUUUCCUCUUUCUACUUAGCUGUCCCUAUCAUUUUUAACAGUUUAAAUAAACAUCUGUUAUUCUCAAAUCAUAUAUCCCAUUCCUAUAUCUUUCUCUAAGACAAUGUGAUACCUGUUUCACAGACAAGAAAUUAUCACAUUCCAAUAUGUCUUUUAUCAGAUUAAAACAAAAACAGGAAACAACAUUCAAAGAGGCUACGUACUUGCCAGAAGUAACAAAGUGUGAUGAAGAUGCUGGAGGGAGGAACAUGUUGAUGUCAAAAAUACCUAAGAUGACAGGUGACCCUCAGUGUUGGCUUCUCACAGAAUCCAUAGAGACAGACGUGCCCAGCAGGAUAAACAGCUCCUAUCAUGUGAAAGGCUGAACUCACACACAGGUGUGCAGCCCUUUUGUGGAAGAGGUUGCUGAGUGCCAGAAGGAGUUAGGAAGGAUUUUUUUGCUCAGACUGUCCUGCCAUUUGUUUGUCUGCAUUGCCCUGGUAUUCAGUCUGAUUGUGCCACCCUUUGGCAAGUACCCAAGCUUGGAACUUCAGCUGUGGAUUUUACUCUGUAACAACCAGCAGUAUAUAUUUUCAGUGAUGAUGCUUCUAAGGACAUUGGCACCAGGAACUUUCCAACACCCUCACCAAAGACACCUUCCUGGCUUCAGGACCCAAUAUAUGGAGGGAAAACCAAUCUGAUAUGAAAAUGCCAUGGGGAAAGUGAACAGAACUAUUUCCUGAAGUGGAGGUGACAAAGGACACAUACAGCUUUCAAAAAUGCAAGGGAC